UACGGGGGGGGCAAGCGUUGUUCGGAAUUACUGGGCGUAAAGGGCUCGUAGGCGGCCAACUAAGUCGGACGUGAAACCCCCAGGCUCAACCUGGGGACGCCACCUGAUACUGCUGUGACUCGAGUCCGGUAGGGGAGCGUGGAAUUCCUGGUGUAGCGGUGAAAUGCGCAGAUAUCAGGAGGAACACCAGCGGCGAAGGCGGCGCUCUGGGCCGGUACUGACGCUGAGGAGCGAAAGCGUGGGUAGCAAACAGG
rnacentral:rRNA from 1 species